ensembl:lncRNA
CAGGGACUUCCCCCCUGAGGCCGUGGGGGUCCGGCUACGCUCCAGCGGCAGCCUCAGUCUGAGCCUGACGGAGGAGGUUCCCGGGGAGGCGGAGGUGAAGCUGAGGAAGAGCAAGAAGAAGAGGAAGAGGAGCAGCAUGAUCUUCAUCUCCGAGGAGAGGGAGAGGACCGCCACCCUGGACGGAAAACGGCUGUCGAAGAAGCAGGAGUUCCGGAGCGACACCAACCUGACCGACGUGAAUGAUAUGGUUCUGACCAACGCCAACUCCAAAUCCCUGCCUGCUAUUGGAGGUCUGUCCCUACAGGUGGUGGGGGCGGCCGAGGAGGUGGACUCGAGCCGGUCCAGGCGGGACAGUAAGUCCAUGUCCAUAUGCGCUGGCUCAGACAGGACCGCCGACAGACGCUCCAAGGGGGUCCUGAAUCUUUUUUUCAAGAAUAAGGUUUCCAAAUCUGAAGAUGUGAAGACGAGUGCCUCAUCCAAAGACAACAUCAAUCAUUUCUGAUAUUUAUCAUCACUUUUUUUUGUAUUCCUUGGUGCCAUCACUGGAUUGAUGAGAAAAUUGAACAAAGAAGUGCCGAUGAGCAGUGAUGGAAGGUUUGAAUUAUGCCAUGAAAUGCAACAUGGUUGCUUGCUCUUUUAUAACUCGCUUACUGCACUGAUUCAGUGCCUCCUCUUUUAUAUAAUUCAGUGUCACUAUUCAAUGUCGCCAUUUUGUAUUUGACUGACACAUUUUGCUAAUAGGAGAAUUUUAAUAGAGGCAAACGGCAACCAGCAGCUUUCAAACUGAUUGAGCUUCUGCAAGAUUGGGCAUUCACAAAACAAUCUAUUGACACGCUUGACUGAAGCACUUCUUGUUACGACAGUUAUGUGAUUAACGAAACCCGAUGAAUCGCUAGUAAACCUCCUUUUGUCAGUUUUACUAUGGAUCUUGUCGUGCUGCCAAACGACCUGGCACAUUAUGAAAAUCUGACAGGUCCAUUUUAAUAUAGCGGAGCAGAAAGACUAGUGCAGACACUGCUGUUAAGAUAAAUCAACAUCUCAUUUCACAAUAAAAGUUUUGACCUCAAGAGUUGAAUUGACUGUUAAAUGGCUUCUAGUUCCUGUAAACUCUCAGGGCAUUUCUAAUAGUG